UGGGAGUAGAGCCUGCUGCAAAGAGACCACCUAGGGGAGGCUUAAGUGCUACCUCCCUCCUGUGGGUCAGAGCCCCUCUGCCCUCCCAGCCAGCCAGGGGAGAUAAGGCUCUUCAUUUGGGGUAUCUUUCAACAUGACAUUGUCUAAUUCCUAAUGCUGUUGAGGAUUUAUUUAUUUUUACUCUCCAUGCUAUCUUUAGCACAAGAAGAGAAGAAUGGUAAUGAGGACAGACCGUCAUCUCUGUAGUCUCCUCUGUGUGGGUAGCAAGUUAGUAUUGGAGUCUGCUGUGCAAGACACGUCUACACCCGUCGUUGCUGACUGAAUCUUCACGUCAUGGCCUGUGUGUUCUGUGUAGUCCCUGAUAGUGCAACUCAGGGGAAAUACUAGCAGAGAGGCUGCAAGUAGUCUGUGGAUAACCUGUGAAGAUCCCCGAAGUUUUUCUGUGUGGGACUGACAUUAAUUUUGAGGAUUGGAAUGAGCACUGCAGAUAGAGCAAUGUGUUUUUCAGCUAAGAGGGUUUAACCUUCUUUGUCAAUGACAAAUGCUCAUGUAGAUGCACUAAGAGGAUAUUUGAGCUUGGAAAAGUUGGGAGGUACUCCGGGAUUUGUUUUUCACCUGCAAGCAAGCAGCACAGCUUUAAAGAAACUGCCCUUGUAAGCAGAUUAUACGCUGAUGCUUGGAGCAGCAAGUCGAGCAUAAGCAGACCUCUGUCUUCAUCUGCAGCUGCUGCGGGAAGUCACCUGCAUUGUGUCUGGUGCAGCUGCAAGAAUGACUUGACUGAUUUGCAUUCAUGGCUCUUGGAUGAUCUGGUGAACCAUGGAGCUCAAAGUAUGGGUGGAUGGAGUGCAGAGAAUCGUGUGUGGGGUCACCGAAGUCACAACAUGCCAGGAAGUUGUAAUAGCCCUUGCUCAGGCUAUUGGUGAGUACUGCAAGAUGGGAAGUGGGGUGAAGCUUUUUUUGUGAAGCUAAACCCAGGGGAGGUGGGGGAGCACUGGGUACCAGCAGAGCAGAAAAUGCACAGUGGGAUGAUCUUGCAGUGUAAACUUGUAGUCUUGGAUUUUUCACCUGCCAGAGAGAGACUGAAAAGACAGAAAAGAAACAUUUUGAAAUAUAUAACCUUUCCUUCAGUAAAAAUUUAUUCUCUAAGUAAUGUUAAUUAUGCUGCCAUUGGUUGUUGUAAAUACAGCCUGGACUAAGGAAGGUGCUAAACUGUCAAUAUUCUGAGUACCAAAGAAAAUAUAAAAGGAGUGCAAUAUAAUGGUUAGCUAAUGAUGUUCAUUGAAAUUAUACCCAUUAUAAGUAUCUUUAACUGUAUUUGGAGUAGUAUAGAUCAAUGAAAUAGAUCCUUCAGGGUCUCCUCUGACUACUGCAUGCCACAUAACUUGCUGCUCAUGAAAGUGUAACUUGGAAGUCUCCAUGCUGUUAGCCCUUUGCUGAAAAGUUCAGAAGAGAAAAAUAAAAUCUUUCAGGCUUCAACA
rnacentral:lncRNA from 1 species